ensembl:lncRNA
CACCUCUAACCUCCUGGAUUGUGCUGCCAUUUUCCCUAAGGCCUCAAUAGCAUAUUUUAUCUGAGGUCAGCAAUACCUCAGUGAAAUUUUUGAGAAGUUCCAUCACAAGCUGUCUGUACCCUGCCACGGGAUGUGAUCACAGCACAGUGGUAAUCAACGCUGUAAAGGCUGAACAGUUCCAACAUGCAACAAUCUUACAUCAGAAAUAUGCCACCACUGGGAUAGACAUCUUUUCUUGAACCAUGUCCUCAUAUCAUCAGACAACUGAAAAGGAAUUCUGUCAUCAACACCUCCAUUGGCUCCAACAAAAUCCUAAUGAGUGCCAGAUGCUUGGACUCAGCAGCAGCAGAAGUUGCACAAAUUGUUCUUUCAUCAUGGCUGCUGUGGCUGCAGUCUUGGCUUUGGCUUCAGUGAUCCCAUAAGUAGAAGCAGAGAGCAGAGCUGGAGCUCUCUGAAAAGAUCCUUCCUCUGGAAAAGAGACACAAAAUCAGGAAGUGGGGAGUGCUGUCAGCCGAAGAGUAGCAAGGCAUGUCUCCUUUGUAAAGCUAUGACAUCCAUCUUCUCAGGAGAUGAACACUCACAGUUUAGAAAAAUCUGCUGCUGUUUUAAACUCUCCAUAUAGACAAAUGCAGUGAAAAUGGAAAAGGAAUGUGCAUCACACAACUUGUGUAUUGUAUCUUCUAGAUAACUGUAAACUCAGUGAAAUGCAGUGCAUGCAUCAAAAGCUUUGAUGGUAGGCUUUUCUCAUAUUCAACAAUGGAAAUGGGGGAAAAAAGCCUAAAAAUGUGACUGCAAGGACAAGUUCCCCCCCAAGUACAAAGUGCAGUGAUGGUGAUGUACAUGAAAGGAAUUAAAUCACUAUUUCAUCCCAUCAAUGGAAACCAGUGGUUGUCCUGAAAAUUUAUUUUACUGUGCUCUGGAAUGUUUCUAUCUGUGCACACAGGGUACAAAGGGAGGUGGCUUUAAUGGAAGAAAAACAUAGCGUCAUCUAUAAUGUCACUCGUGAUCUUAAGAGUUGCCUUCAAACAGGAGAGUUGAUAUAAAGGAGCUAAUGGGUCCAUUCUACUACCCAUAAAGGGAGCGGAGGACAUUACAGCUGCUAGGCUCUCUGAGUUUGCCUGGCAGACUGAUUUUCAAGGCCCCAUUUUUCUGUGCUCUAUGUCAUUUGAAAGUAGACUAUAAGUACCAGCUUUUCUGAAGUUAACAGAAGUUCUACUAUUGACUUUGAUGGCACCAAGAUUUCAUAAAUACGAUUGUUGUUUUUUCACUUGACUGAAGUGUUAUUUUUGCUUCAAAAUGGAACUUUAACAUUGGUACCUUCAGCCCAUAAGAUCAUAUACAGAAUAUUGCUUUUAAUUGCUAGCCAUACACUGCCAGUUCCACAUCAUGUCAAUGAUCAGAGAAAUAAGUUCUGGUACAGCUAGUUAUUCUGCACAGAUCAUAAAUGCAUUCAGUAUGGCAGGAUCUUAUAGGAGAGGGAAUGUGUUUCAUUGGGCAAACUGCUAUAGUUGGAAAAGUGAUUGUGUUUUGAACCAUACAAGCCCUUCUUCUGCUCUAAUGAAAGCAGAUAUUUCUCAUAUUGAAAGAACAAUACUACAGCUCUAUAAGACCGUAGCACAUGGGAAUGCAUUCAGGAAGGAGAUGUUACUUUCAAACAGUAGGAUAAAUAAAUCACUGAAGUUCUGUUGGAAGAAUAACCAAUGUAAAAUAAGCUUGUUUAGUAGCUUUACAAUUGGAGAAGUCUCAGACUGAAGUCUGUGAGCUGAAAAUUGGUGACCAUCUUAAACAGAGGCUACAUAUGAGAAAGAUUAACCAUUAAAUUAUUGGCUGCUAGGAGGUGCAGUCUGUAGAUCACAGACUUAAAGUUAUUGGAAUUUUCUUUUACAAACAGGCAGAGGAUGAGACAGAGGUGAGUUGGUUGCUACUGGCCCUAGUUAGCUCCAGUCCCCCAAGAAAACUGUCUGGAGUCCUAAGGACUGAGAGGCUCUUGGCAGCAGCAAUCAAUAUGAUGCAGUACUCCUUUGAUUGCUAGACAAAAGUUCAGUGAUUAAACUUCAGAAUCUCAGAAUCAAAUGUUUUAGAAAUUUUGAUAGUGUGAAAAAGGAUUAACUAGAAAAACUGCAUUACAUUUAAACAACACAAGGAUUGGGAAGUAGGCUGGAAUGUAUCUGAGUAAAUUUGAUUAAGACUGCACUUUCAGGCAACUCAUUUAUUUGUGUUGAGGUCAAUGUUUUAAGAGUCACAAUUUAAUUACAAAGCCACAAUUCAUGCUAAGCAUCUUUAUGCUGUUCUGUAUUACUCAUAAUGUGUGUAGCAUUUGAAUUCAUUUGACACCAACAUCAAUUUCUGAAAAUGCUCAUAUUCCCAAUUGCUUUCCAAUUGGAAGAGGAGAAUUUAUUACAUUACUUAUGCUAUGCUUUAAUAUUGUAUUUGUACAUCUGUAUCUACCAUCUUUUCUUCCUCACACUUCAGUGGGGUCUCAAUUAUUUUAAAGUAAUUUCCUAACUUUUACUAAAUCAAGGAGAAUUAUCUACAACCUCUAAACCCAGAAUGAAGUAAUUUAACCUGGCGGUUUCAUCACCCAUACCACACAUUUCAGAUCUACUUAUUUCUCAUUUGUUUGCCCUGAAACUAUAUCAUAAGGAGAAUGGCAAUUUCAAGGAAGCAAUAAAAUAAUAAUCAUAUAAAAAGUAAAAAUUAAAAUUUCAGUCUGUGCAUGUCAUAGAAGCGUUAUAAUGCUCAAUAUUGUCAUUUGAUUAUAUUGUAAAGUAAUUAUACUUAGAUUUUUUCCUCUUUCUUACCUUCCUAAUAUGCUGCUGAUAUCAAUUUUGUGGCAAGAGUAUAUAAUUAUCAAACAUGAUUUCCUACAAACUCAGGCUCAAAACGCCAUUUGGAUCUAUGUGAAUAACUCCACUGAAAUCCAUAGGCAGAUUUUAGCCCUGCUAUCAGUAGCUAUUCUGUUUUCACUAUCAGAUCCUAGGGUCAAUUCUUGCCAGCACUUUUGGGGUUCAUUUAGGAUCUUUUUAUUUCAUAUUCAUUGAUUUCAGUGCUUCCUGGAUUUUAUCACCUAAUUAAAAUUUCAACUAAUUUUUUGGGUGCUUUGAGGUCUUUGGGAUGAGGAUUGGGGAUUUUCAGAUGAAUUGGUUUCACAGUUUUUAAGGGCAGGAUAUGAGUUGCCUCCUGUUGGACUGAGAAUUUCUAACUUUCAUUUGUUCUGCAGAAAAAGUUUGGCAAAGUGGCAGUAUUAGCAGAUGGUGUGGAGUGGGACAAGAGACAGUCACCAUCAAGUCAUGAAUCUUUCUAUGUUGUUUCCAUGAAAAAAAGACUCAUAGCCAGCUGGGCUGCAAUAUCAAAAAAUCUCAAUUUAUAUACGUUCAGUGAGCAAUUGUGAAGAAGAAAAGAAGCAAAGGUGAGCAAAGAGAAGACAAUAAAGGAGACUGGAAGCACGGGAAGCCUUUAGAGUUGACAGCAGAUUUUGGGUAACUGUAGAAGACAGUGGAUGAGGCUAGUAGUAGUAUAGUACACAUAAAAGAACCACAUAUUGAUGAUUCUUCUAGUAAUUUUUCUUAAAACCUUCUUUAUAGGUAUUAAGAAUGAGGAAACCAGAGGAGUUAUGAAAAGAUCUACCGAGUUAACUAAUCUAAUGGAGACAUUAGGGAGAUCUUGUUCAGUGGCCAGAAUCUUUUUUUUUUUUUCCUUUCUGACAAAGUAAUGAAGCUUUCUGCAUGGAAGAAAAUAAUGGCCCUAAGAACACAGAAUGACACCUUAUAAAAAGCAAGCUGACUUGCUUAAGAUGGAAGGAGGUCACCUCUGUGGUGCUUGAGUAUCUGAUGACCAUCCUCACUGAGCACACAGGAAAUCCCCAUGCCUAUCAAUAUAUCUCCCUAAAGUAUGAGCCCAUCUUUGCUCUAGACACAGAGGGACUGGAAGCUCCUGAAAGCGAUCUUGGGGUCAGUGCAGAUGUCUUUUUUUCAGUGCUCUGUACUUCUAUCCAGUGAACUCUCAUCAGUAAUCCUCACAUCUUAACUGCAGUAAACAUUGUCAGGAAGGAGAUAUGACAACAUGCCUCAAAAACCUUGGAAAUAAACACUGAAAGAUUUUCUUGGCUGCUGCAACAAAUAUAAACACUCAGACCUGUGGAAACAAAAAUGAUGCAAGGACCAGCCUUGUCAUCUUGACAGUAGUGAAGAACUAACUGCCUAGGGGAGUAGAACAGAUUCUCUCAGCAGCUUCUCUCUAAGCUGUUUGCAGAACUGGAAACCAAGCAUCUGAAAGACUCAGACAGGAUUACACUGUUUUUUCUGCUUGAUUCCCUACAGUACCCCAGAAGACAUCCCAUGGUGUUCUUACAUGCACAAACACCAAUCUCCCUAAGAAACCUUGCUGAAGACACAGGAGCAGCCACAUGAGAUUGGAAGGCAAAGAUGCUUAUUAUAAGAGACAAGGUUAUUACAUAACACCCAUCCUUGAAGUCAAAAACUGGUGGCAUAACGGCAAGAAUACCUAGUGUGCAUUCAUUAUUGUACAAGCCUGAAUGGCACAAUUCCAUCUUGGUAUUUUCUGUCGGUUUUGUUGUGAGGACUUGUGAUUACAUAAUCUGCUAUGAUCAUGCUAAAACUAGAUAUCCAACUAAAUCAAUAAAAUGUUCUCUUUUGAGCCAGAAGUUUUCCAUUGCUAAUUUCUGCUGCUUCUUUUCUCUAUUGUCCUAAUUUUCC